rnacentral:misc_RNA from 1 species
GAUGAAGAACGUAGCGAAAUGCGAUAAGUAAUGUGAAUUGCAGAAUUCAGUGAAUCAUCGAAUCUUUGAACGCACAUUGCGCCCGCCAGUAUUCUGGCGGGCAUGCCUGUUCGAGCGUCAUUUCAACCAUCAAGCUCCCGGGCUUGCGUUGGGGCCCUGCGGCUGCCGCAGGCCCCUAAAACCAGUGGCGGGCUCGCUGUCACACCGAGCGCAGUAGCAUUUCUUCGCUCUGGGCGCGGCGGCGGGCGCUUGCCAUAAAACAUACCACUUUUUAAAGGUUGACCUCGGAUCAGGUAGGAAUACCCGCUGAACUUAAGCAUAUCAAUAAGCGGAGGA